rnacentral:rRNA from 1 species
UUAAGUCCUGCAACGAGCGCAACCCUUGCCUUUAGUUGCCAGCAGUUCGGCUGGGCACUCUAAAGGGACUGCCGGUGUUAAACCGGAGGAAGGUGGGGAUGACGUCAAGUCCUCAUGGCCUUUAUGACCAGGGCUACACACGUACUACAAUGGCCGAUACAAAGGGCAGCGACACUGCGAGGUGAAGGCCAAUCCCGUAAAAUCGGUACUCAGUCCGGAUUGGAGUCUGCAACUCGACUCCAUGAAGUUGGAAUCGCUAGUAAUCGUGGAUCAGCAUGCCACGGUGAAUACGUUCCCGGGCCUU